UACGGAGGGUGCAAGCGUUGUCCGGAUUUAUUGGGUUUAAAGGGUGCGUAGGCGGCCGAUUAAGUCUGGGGUGAAAGCCCGUUGCUCAACAACGGAACUGCCCUGGAAACUGGUCGGCUUGAUACAGACGAGGGUGGCGGAAUGGAUGCUGUAGCGGUGAAAUGCAUAGAUAGCAUCCAGAACCCCCGAUUGCGAAGCAGCUGCCUAG
rnacentral:rRNA from 1 species